rnacentral:rRNA from 1 species
UACAGAGGUCUCAAGCGUUAUUCGGAAUCAUUGGGCGUAAAGCGCGCGUAGGCGGCCCUGUAAGUCCGUUGUGAAAGUCAAAGGCUCAACCUUUGAAAGCCGAUGGAUACUGCAGGGCUAGAGUCCGGAAGAGGCGAGUGGAAUUCCUGGUGUAGCGGUGGAAUGCGCAGAUAUCAGGAGGAACACCAAUAGCGAAGGCAGCUCGCUGGGACGGUACUGACGCUAAGGCGCGAAAGCGUGGGGAGCGAACAGG